rnacentral:rRNA from 1 species
AACACAUGCAAGUCGGGGGGCAGCAUCAUCAAAGCUUGCUUUGAUGGAUGGCGACCGGCGCACGGGCGAGUAACACGUAUCCAACCUGCCGACAACACUGGGAUAGCCUUUCGAAAGAAAGAUUAAUACCGGAUGGCAUAAUUAUUCCGCAUGGGAUAAUUAUUAAAGAAUUUCGGUUGUCGAUGGGGAUGCGUUCCAUUAGGCAGUUGGCGGGGUAACGGCCCACCAAACCCACGAUGGAUAGGGGUUCUGAGAGGAAGGUCCCCCACAUUGGAACUGAGACACGGUCCAAGCUCCUACGGGAGGCAGCAGUGAGGAAUAUUGGUCAAUGGACGAGAGUCUGAACCAGCCAAGUAGCGUGAAGGAUGACUGCCCUAUGGGUUGUAAACUUCUUUUAUACGGGAAUAAAGUGAGCCACGUGUGGCUUUUUGUAUGUACCGUAUGAAUAAGGAUCGGCUAACUCCGUGCCAGCAGCCGCGGUAAUACGGAGGAUCCGAGCGUUAUCCGGAUUUAUUGGGUUUAAAGGGAGCGUAGGCGGGUUGUUAAGUCAGUUGUGAAAGUUUGCGGCUCAACCGUAAAAUUGCAGUUGAUACUGGCGACCUUGAGUGCAACAGAGGUAGGCGGAAUUCGUGGUGUAGCGGUGAAAUGCUUAGAUAU